rnacentral:rRNA from 1 species
AUUGAACGCUGGCGGCAUGCCUUACACAUGCAAGUCGAACGGUAACAGGUCUUCGGAUGCUGACGAGUGGCGAACGGGUGAGUAAUACAUCGGAACGUGCCCGAGAGUGGGGGAUAACGAGGCGAAAGCUUUGCUAAUACCGCAUACGAUCUCAGGAUGAAAGCAGGGGACCGCAAGGCCUUGCGCUCACGGAGCGGCCGAUGGCAGAUUAGGUAGUUGGUGGGAUAAAAGCUUACCAAGCCGACGAUCUGUAGCUGGUCUGAGAGGACGACCAGCAACACUGGGACUGAGACACGGCCCAGACUCCUACGGGAGGCAGCAGUGGGGAAUUUUGUACAAUGGGCGCAAGCCUGAUCCAGCCAUGCCGCGUGCAGGAUGAAGGCCUUCGGGUUGUAAACUGCUUUUGUACGGAACGAAAAGACUCUGGUUAAUACCUGGGGUCCAUGACGGUACCGUAAGAAUAAGCACCGGCUAACUACGUGCCAGCCGCCGCCGUAAAAC